GCUGGAGUGCAGUGGUGUGAUCCUGGCUCACUGCAAGCUCUGCCUCCCUGUUCACGCCAUCCUCCUGCCUCAGCCUCCUGAGUAGCUGGGACUACAGGUGGCCGCCACCACACCUGGCUAAUUGUUUUUUGUUGUUGUUGUUGGUUGUUUGUUUUUAGUAGAGAUGGGGUUUCACCGUGUUAGCCAGGAUGGUCUUGAUCUCCUGACCUCGUGAUCCACCCCCCUCGGCCUCCCAAAGUGCUGGGAUUACAGGCAUGAGCCACUGCACCCGGCCUGAAUAAUAUUUUAAAUGUAUAAAAUAAAACAUUUUUAUAUAUUUGGUGUAUCUAGAAUUGGUAUAAAAGGAAACAAAUUAUAACAAAAUAUGUCAUCAAAAUAUUUUAAAAGUUACCCUAUAGUAAAAUACAUACUUUUAAUUAACACAUUAAAUAAUGAGAUCAAUCAGUGAGCAUAGUAACUACAGUUACUUCAAAGAAGUCAUGCCCAUACUUAUUUCAAGAUAUCUGUAAGAAGUGAUAUGAGAUGCAAAUAUCUGUAGAUUUUUUAAUUGGAGAUACAGUCACAGCUACAGCUAAUAUUCCUAUGGUUUGACUAUCUAGGUUCACAAUUGCAAGAAAUGCUAAAUUUCAUCUCCGGGUCAGUGAAGGUAAAUAAAAUGGAGAAAUGUGGGCUUAAAGAGGAAAGCAGUUACGCGGAUGUAGAUCCAGGAGCUGGGAACUGAAAACAUUUCCCCAUCUUCCUGAAGCUAGAGUGCAGGCAUACGGCCGAAGCUUCUGACAAACAGAGGUAUCUGCCCAGGACUCGGAUGAGAAACAAGCAUCGAGACAGAAUUUGUGUCUUCUGGAGAGCAUGGAGGUGGAGCCACGUGGUUCUUCUGAGAAAACUGAGGUGGACUCUGGCAUGCUGUGUCCGACCUGCCGAGGGCAGCAGUAGCUCCCUAGAACCCCUGUGAAAAGCUAGAAAACUUUCAGCAAAAAUAGAAGAAACAUUACUUCUGUUUUUAUUGAUAAAGAACAGCAUAUGGGGGGGCGCAGAGCAAGAUGGCCGAAUAGGAACAGCUCCAGUCUCCAACUCCCAGCGCAAGCGACACAGAAGACCGGUGAUUUCUGCAUUUUCAACUGAGGUACUGGGGUCAUCUCACUGGGGAGUGCCGGACAAUCGGUGCUGGUCAGCUGCUGCAGCCUGACCAGCGAGAGCUGAAGCAGGGCGAGGCAUCACCUCACCUGGG
rnacentral:lncRNA from 1 species